rnacentral:rRNA from 1 species
GACGAACGCUGGCGGCGUGCUUAACACAUGCAAGUCGAACGGUGAAGCGCCUUCCUUUUUGGUGGGUGUGGAUGAGUGGCGAACGGGUGAGUAACACGUGAGUAACCUGCCCCCUUCUUCUGGAUAACCGCAUGAAAGUGUGGCUAAUACGGGAUAUUCUGGGUCUGUCGCAUGAUGGGUCUGGGAAAGAUAUUGUUUCGGUGGGAGAUGGGCUCGCGGCCUAUCAGCUUGUUGGUGGGGUGAUGGCCUACCAAGGCGGUGACGGGUAGCCGGCCUGAGAGGGUGGACGGUCACACUGGGACUGAGACACGGCCCAGACUCCUACGAGAGGCAGCAGUGGGGAAUAUUGCACAAUGGGCGCAAGCCUGAUGCAGCGACGCCGCGUGAGGGAUGGAGGCCUUCGGGUUGUGAACCUCUUUCGCCAGUGAAGCAGGCCUGCCUCGUUUGUGGGUGGGUUGACGGUAGCUGGAUAAGAAGCGCCGGCUAACUACGUG